CCCUUAGAUGUUCUGGGCCGCACGCGCGCUACACUGACGAUGGCAACGAGUUUUUCCUUCGCCGAAAGGUGUGGGUAAUCUUUUGAAACAUCGUCGUGCUGGGGAUAGAUCAUUGCAAUUUUUGAUCUUGAACGAGGAAUUCCUAGUAAGCGCGAGUCAUCAGCUCGUGCUGAAUACGUCCCUGCCCUUUGUACACACCGCCCGUCGCUCCUACCGAUUGAGUGGUCCGGUGAGGCUUUGGGAUCUGAGCGGAAAGAGCGUUUCGCUGUUUCUGCCCGGAAAACUCAGUCGAACCUUAUCAUUUAGAGGAAGGAGAAGUCGUAACA
rnacentral:rRNA from 1 species